GGUGAGAAACUGGUUUCUGUCUAUGAUUGGUGUGCAAAAUCCGAAAGAAGAGGUGGUGGAGUCAAGAAGGAAGUAUGACUUUGGCGAUGAGGUGCUAGCUUGGAGGAUAAAGCUGCAAAAAGAGCGAUAUCUAAAAGCAGAAGGCUCCAAUGUACUUGAAUCCUUAGAUGGCUCAAUUUUGGAUACAGAAUUAAAAAACGUUUUUGCAGAGAAAUCGAAAGAAAUUGUUUGAUGAGCAUUUCAUUGAUGGAAAGAAGAGACCAGAAGUAAGCCACCAUCCUCUGUAUGUCACUGCUGAUUAAAGAGUUGUGGCAGAGGACAUAAACAAUGCAACUAAAGAUGAAAUCUUAAAGAGAAUUGCUGAUAAGCUUCAGCAGGUUUCUGGCGAAGAUGUAAGAGGACCCCUGUCGAUCAAACUAGAAUUACUUAAAGCUCAACCAAACAAAGC